rnacentral:misc_RNA from 1 species
AAGGAGGGCUACUGAAGAGGGAGGAUCAUCUUAUUCUGAUGUUAAUGCAUUGCUUGAAGAACUAAGAGCCCUAAAGAGGAGCAAGGAGAUAGCUACCAGCCUGUAAAAGCAAAUUGCCAGGAAAGGACUGCAAAAGUAAUAACAAUAAUAAACUUAAGAGAUUAUGCAAAUAUUGAAUUGUAUCAAGCUUUGGCAUUCGUGCACUUAAUUAUAGGGGAAUAGGGAUUAAAUGAAUAUAUUAAAAAGCAAACCAACACCAAGUAGGAAGCAAUAUAAUAUAAAUUACUUUUCACUAUAUAAAUUUAUUAUGGGG